rnacentral:rRNA from 1 species
UACGAAGGGGGCUAGCGUUGUUCGGAAUUACUGGGCGUAAAGAGCACGUAGGCGGCUUAUCAAGUUGGGGGUGAAAUCCCAGAGCUCAACUCCGGAACUGCCUUCAAAACUGGUAGGCUCGAGUCCGGAAGAGGUGCGUGGAAUUCCCAGUGUAGAGGUGAAAUUCGUAGAUAUUGGGAAGAACACCGGUGGCGAAGGCGGCGCCCUGGUCCGGUACUGACGCUGAGGCGCGAAAGCGUGGGGAGCAAACAGG